UACAGAGGUGGCAAGCGUUGUUCGGAAUUACUGGGCGUAAAGGGCGUGUAGGCGGCCUUCUAAGUCAGACGUGAAAUCCCCUGGCUUAACCUGGGAACUGCGUCUGAUACUGGGAGGCUAGAGUAUGGGAGAGGAAGGUAGAAUUCCAGGUGUAGCGGUGAAAUGCGUAGAUAUCUGGAGGAAUACCGGUGGCGAAGGCGGCCUUCUGGACCAUAACUGACGCUGAUCCGCGAAAGCUAGGGGAGCAAACGGG
rnacentral:rRNA from 1 species